rnacentral:rRNA from 1 species
CACGGGGGGAGCAAGCGUUGUUCGGAAUCACUGGGCGUAAAGGGCGUGUAGGCGGUCAAGUAAGUGGAAUGUGAAAGCCCCCGGCUUACCCGGGGAUCUGCAUCCCAAACUGCUUGGCUUGAGUAUGGGAGAGGAUGGAGGAAUUCCUGGUGUAGCGGUGAAAUGCGUAGAUAUCAGGAAGAACACCGGUGGCGAAGGCGGCUCUCUGGGCCUUACCUGACGCUGAGGAGCGAAAGCGUGGGUAGCGAACAGG